CGCUGUGUGGUGUAGUGGUUUGACUGUUGGACUGCGCCUCUGGUGACCAGGGUUCGAAUCCCAGCUCGGCCA